UGUAGCGGCCCCAGCCUGAGGCAGGUAUAGUGCCCAGGGUUUCAUGCCAGUAGAUGACCCAUCCAGAAGAGCAGAGGUGAUGUCUGAGGGUGUCUGUGAACUCAAGAGAAGCCUUUCAUUCUAGACAUAGUAGUUAUUUUCUAAAUCAUCUUUAAACUUAUUUGCUGGAAUAUUGUGGGGGUAAAGUGCAAACUUCCCCUUCACCAUCUGAAGGUUUGCUAAAAAUCAACAGGCAGAAGGCGAAUUAACAGGAGAAAUGGCAUGCCAAUUUGUUUGAUCACAGUUUUACAUGAAGAAUGAAGACCCAAAGACACAUGAGAAAUUGUCCAUUUUUAUGCAACACCAGACCAGGCGAUGCUCUAAGACAGGUACAACAAAGUAUGGACAUGCGUGUAGAAAUACGAG
rnacentral:lncRNA from 10 species